AGAGUUUGAUCAUGGCUCAGGAUGAACGCUAGCGGGAGGCCUAACACAUGCAAGCCGAGCGGUAGAGAUUCUUCGGAAUCUUGAGAGCGGCGUACGGGUGCGGAACACGUGUGCAACCUACCUUUAUCUGGAGGAUAGCCUUUCGAAAGGAAGAUUAAUACUCCAUAAUAUAUUUGAUGGCAUCAUUAAAUAUUGAAAGCUCCGGCGGAUAGAGAUGGGCACGCGCAAGAUUAGCUAGUUGGUGAGGUAACGGCUCACCAAGGCAAUGAUCUUUAGGGGCCUGAGAGGGUGAUCCCCCACACUGGUACUGAGACACGGACCAGACUCCUACGGGAGGCAGCAGUGAGGAAUAUUGGUCAAUGGGUGCAAGCCUGAACCAGCCAUCCCGCGUGAAGGACGACUGCCCUAUGGGUUGUAAACUUCUUUUGUAUAGGGAUAAACCUACUCUCGUGAGAGUAGCUGAAGGUACUAUACGAAUAAGCACCGGCUAACUCCGUG
rnacentral:rRNA from 1 species